rnacentral:rRNA from 1 species
GACGAACGCUGGCGGCGUGCCUAAUACAUGCAAGUAGGACGCAGUUGCGAACGGGUGAGUAACGCGUAGGUAACUACCUAUUAGAGGGGGAUAACUAUUGGUAACGAUAGCUAAUACCGCAUACUAGUAGCUGGACCUGCGUUGUAUUAGCUAGUAGGUCGGGUAAUGGCCUACCUAGGCAACGAUACAUAGCCGGGCUGGGGAGGUGGUCGGCCAAACUUGGACUUGGACACGGCCCAGACUCCUACGGGGGGGAGCAAGAGGGAAUCUUCGGCAAUUGGGGGAACCCUGACCGAGCAACGCCGCGGGAGUGAAGAAGGUUUUCGGAGCGUAAAGCUCUGUUGUGAAGGAAGCGGUACUUAACCAGAAAGGGACGGCUAACUACGUGCCAGCAGCCGCGGUAAUAC